UGGGGAAUUGUUCGCAAUGGGCGCAAGCCUGACGACGCAACGCCGCGUGGAGGAUGAAGAUCUUCGGGUCGUAAACUCCUUUCGAUCGAGACGAACGGCCUCUGGGCGAAUAGUCCAGGGGAGUGACGGUACCGAGAGCAGAAGCCACGUCUAACUCCGUGCCCGCAGCCGCGGUAAUACGGGGGGGGCAAGCGUUGUUCGGAAUUACUGGGCGUAAAGGGCUCGUAGGUGGCCAACUAAGUCAGACGUGAAAUCCCUCGGCUUAACCGGGGAACUGCGUCUGAUACUGGAUGGCUUGAGUUUGGGAGAGGGACGCGGAAUUCCAGGUGUAGCGGUGAAAUGCGUAGAUAUCUGGAGGAACACCGGUGGCGAAGGCGGCGUCCUGGACCAACACUGACACUGAUGAGCGAAAGCCAGGGGAGCAAA
rnacentral:rRNA from 1 species